GAUUAACGCUGGCGGCGUGCCUAACACAUGCAAGUCGAGCGGCAGCGAGUUUUACACUGAAUUCUGGAAGCUUCUAGUUGAAAGAGAAGAUUUAUUCAAGAAUUUUUUGUAAAAUGUCGGCGAGCGGCGGACGGCUGAGUAACGCGUGGGAACGUACCCCAAAGUGAGGGAUAACGCAUCGAAAGGUGUGCUAAUACCGCAUAUGGUCUUCGGAUUAAAGCCUUCGGGCGCUUUGGGAACGGCCUGCGUAAGAUUAGAUAGUUGGUGGGGUAAUGGCCUACCAAGUCGACGAUCUUUAACUGGUUUGAGAGGAUGAUCAGUCAGACUGGAACUGAGACACGGUCCAGACUCCUACGGGAGGCAGCAGUGAGGAAUCUUCCAAAAUGGGCGAAAGAAUGAUGGAGCAACGCCGCGUGCAGGAUGAAGGCCUUCGGGUUGUAAACUGCUUUUAUAAGUGAGGAUUAUGACAGUAACUUAUGAAUAAGGAUCGGCUAACUACGUG
rnacentral:rRNA from 1 species